rnacentral:rRNA from 1 species
UACGUAGGGGGCAAGCGUUGGUCUGGAUUAUUGGGCGUAAAGAGGCGUGAUAGGCGGCCGUACUAGGUCAGCUGUGAAAACUCCGGAGGCUCGAACCUCGAGACGUCGGUUGAAACCGUACGGCUAAGAGGUCCGGAAGAGGAGAGGUGGAAUUCCCGGUGUAGCGGUGAAAUGCGCAGAUAUCGGGAAGAACACCCGUGGCGAAGGCGGCUCUCGUGGGGACGGUACCUGGACGCUGAGACGCGAAAGCGUGGGGAGCGAACGAG